CGGGACGAGCAGCUGGGUCCGGCCUGCUCGGCCUGUGGGACCGGGAGCUGCAGCUGGGAGCUGGCAGAGCCCGGCUCCUCAGCCUGGAAAUCCCCAAAUCUUUGAGACUGGUAGAUCCAAAGUCUCAUUUUCGGCUGUUUUUAUUUUUGUGUGUGUGUGCAAGAGUAUAUCCUGCUACCACCUCUCACUGCUGAGCUGGUCUGCUCAGCAGCAGCCCUGCUGCUCUGCCUCGGGCCGAUCUGGUUGUUCCCCUCACAAGGCACAGAGCUGUCUUGUCUGAAAAGGACUUUCAAGACUGGGGUUUAUCCAGUUUCAAAAGGAACAAGGCUGUGGCAGCAGAGCAUCAAUGCAUGGUGUAGGUGCCCAGCAGUGUGUGCCACUGGCUUCAGGCCCAUUGCACGAAGUGUCAGCCGAUUCUCCAGCAGUCCCACUGGGAACUUGCAAAGCUACUGCAAAGUUUUCCAGCCACUUGGAUCUAGGUCUUGGCAUUUCCUAUGUCUGUGGAUUCGGUAUCACAGUGGAACCCAACAUCCAGAUGUUCAGUUGGGUAGAGGAGGAACACAGAGCUUCCUAAAGGCGAUUGAUGGUGCGAGGAACAUGCAGUGCUGCACUGUGGGGUUACAUAGGCAGCACAAGGUCAUGCAACUGAAAGAUUGGAGUACAGAUGUCUGAAAGUUACCCUCUGGAGGAGAUGGGUGAAGGCAGAAAAUGCCAGGUGCACGUUGGACUAAAAUGAGAGAUACUGAUUCAUGCUGCUCCCAGGAAAUGAGACUUUGUAGUACCCGGCUUCAGAGGUUGCCAGGACCAAAGCAGCUGUGCGAAUGCGUCGUCGAUCCUGAUGAGGCACUUCUGAUGUCGGAAGCGCGUUCAGACUCCUAAUCUGAAGAAACUCAGGGAAUUCUGCAUUGUCGUGUCAGCGAGAUCCUGCACUUCAUCAUCUGUCCAAGAAGAGGACAGCAAAGCUGAGCAAAGUCAGAGAACUGAGCCAUCCAAGGAAGGUCCUUGCAGUUCUGUGCACACAGAUGAAGCUGGACCAACGAGCAAGGCAGUCGCUCUGUACAUUCGUGCUGAAGAAGACCCAGGAAGGUGAUACUGCAGCCUGACUCUGGUUUGAUUCUUAGAGGAACUGCUUGUCUUUCAAGUAGCUGCAAUCAGCUCCCAAGGCUUUAUAUAAUGCGGCAGCAAACUCAGAAUACGGUGCAUAAAGUUUUCAUAGCUGCAUUAGACUGGAAAACAUCCUGGCCCACAUUCCAACUCCUGCCAUCUCCAGUUCUGCUGCUGAGAGCUCCCAACCUCAGUCUCGGUGACAGGUAUAGAUCCACUGUAUAGACCAUGAGCAACCUGGCUCAUGGUCUGGGCCACCAAACUCGGGUGCAGGGGGAUUCUUAAGGGAUGGAAAAGUGUGAGAGAGGGAGACUGGGAUAAACCUGUGUGGGGAAGGAGUCACUCAGUGGUGGACAAUCACCCACAGGUAAGUGGGGAUGGUCAUCAGCCUGGGAGCAGGAUAUAGCCUUGACGGGGAAUGGUUUAAUUCAGUGUUUGAUGCUCUGUUAGUGUAUUUUGUGCUGCAGUAUCACUUGAAUUCCUAUGUUUGAAAAAUAACUUAAGGUCUUUUUUUUUUUUUUUUUUUUUUUUAAAUUUCCAUUGGUUUUGCCUUUCAUUUCUGUGUGUUGUCUUCUAAUCCCUUCUUAGCAUGCACCAUAUACAAAGUGGGACUUUUAAGGUAAGAGGAAAAGCAGGAAUAUUUUAAGAACUGCUGAGUCCCUUGGUAAGCUACUUUCCAAGGAGGUUACCCACCAGCUUUCUGUGAGAUUUUGAUCUUGUUCUCUUGAAUUGAAGAGAGUCCUGUGGUCUUCAGUAGACUAGACAAUAUUGAAUGCCAAGUUUUUACUAGUUUGUCAAGUAUCUCAUUGCUGUUCACUAUCUGCAAUGUUCCUUGGGUUACUGUGAAAGGCCUGGACACCUUUUGUAUUACAAAUUCAACAGAUUUGUGGUAUUUUGUGUACCUACAAGAAUAUGGAGAAGUAAUUGAGUUUGCACAAUAACAUUUGCCUAUGACUAGAGGAAAUUAAGCAGAAUGGAGUCUUGUCUUGUGUAUUCCAGUAGGUACAACUGAAUCCUUGAAAACUUCUAUGUCAGUGAAAUUAAUUUUGUGGGAUCUGUAACUAUAGCUGCUAAGAGUUCCAACUGUACAACUGUAGUAAGGAGAAAAGUAAUCAUUUUAUGAUGUCGUUUCUUAAAUAUAAGAGUGAGAUAUUUUAAUGCAGUCCAGAAAGAUGCACCAACCUACAGCAGCCAGUGAGACAUCAGCUCCACCUACAGCAAAGGCUGUUCCAUAGCUCUCACAGAAACACAACAAACAGGUCCAAAACAUUGGCACUUGCAGUAGUUCCUCUUGCUCAGGAAGAUUACCUUACCGCAAGGAGAUACAAAGAAGCAGUGGAUUAAAGAGGCCUGCAGGGAAUUACUGAGUCCUAUGCAACUUCAUACAGAGGAAUUUUUAACAAUAGAGGCAAAUAACUAUUAGAAAGUACUUUAUUAUGGAAAAUAUGAAAACCGAAUUGACGUAUCUUCUUCCUGAAGCAAUCAGGAUUUUUCAUAUUUCUAUUAUGAACUGAAAACAAGACGUGCAGCCUGCCCAGAAGCAUCCUGAGCCUCAAAUCCCUUAAUCUCUCAAGUGCGAUCUGUGGUGCCAGCUAUGCUGGGGAGGGUAGGAAAUUUCCCAUAAAAGAUUCCCAAUGUCAAUUAAAAAUUCUGCAUUUGCUUCUUAGUUUAUCUGAAACUGAAGAAGGUGGCUCUUUCUUGCAGUCAAAACAUGUCAUAUGCAUAUUCUCACACAGAAAGCAGUGGAGGUUCUGAAGCCUAUCUUAGAGUGUGUUUGAUUUCCUGGCUGCCUUAUUUGUUUACAACAAUGCUCUUAAAAUUGUCUCUACCAUCUGUGUGGUUUCUAGUUGUUUGAAUGAGAAUGAGAUAUUAAAAUGCCAUCCAGAUGUCUCGUUGCAUAUCAGCAUUAACAUAUUAUGCAAAUUGUCACAAGGAUAGGUUUUUUUUCUUCUUAAACAAAACAAUAUUUUUAGAUGGAAUGGAGAGAAAUAAAUCUGUGAAGGAUGACAAGGGAAAAAAUGCGCUGAGCAUAUUCAGCUGAACUUUUCAAUCAUUUUUUAUGAAAGGGUUAGGUACAAAGUGUCCUUAGUUUUUUUACCAUAAAUCUGUAGAAGAACAAUUGGGUGAAAACACGAUAAUAAACCAACAAAGUACCUCUAAACCCAAAUAUCUCAGAAAAUGAAUUCAACAAAGUGAAAUACAAAACUUGCCUCUGUGUAUUUAUCUCACAAGAACAGGACUUUGCGAAGAAUGAUAGCAGUUGUCUGCUGGCUACUAAGCAUCCAAUUUAAAGAAACCUUUGUCUCUUAUUCUGCAGAUAUUUACAUUUGGAGACAGAAUCAACAGUGCAAGGCCAGACCUGUGCCCUCAUUGCUCUCAAAAAUAAGAAGAGAUGUCUGGAAAUUAAAGCAAGUGUCUGAGAUUAUACUGUUUUCUUGCAUCUUGACUCUUACAGCUAAGGACAAACGUGAUGCUGUUGCCUGUGUUUUCCUUAGAACCACAGAACGGCUUGAGUUGGAAGGGACCUCAGUCAUCAUCCAGUUCCACUCCUACACCAUGGGCAGGGUUGCCAACUUACUCAGGCAUCUUUAUGGGCACAGAGCAGCAUAUGCCUCUGCCCUUCACAAUGACUUUCUUCAAGCACUUGCAUUUGAAUGUUGCUUUCCCCUUUCUGGAUGAUUAUCUGUCCUCUGCUGUAAGGAGGUACCAAUAAGCAAAAGCUUUCAAGGCUGCUGAAAGGGAUGAAGUACUUUUUUAUAUCUCUGUGUAGAACACAACGCUUGGAGGGGGGAAAUAGCAAAAUAUUGUUUGUCUCCAGCAUGCUUUGGAGAAGUGCCUGGUUUAUUUACUCACGUCCCACCUGAAACAACCCGCAGAUUCAUUUAAAUAAAUAAGCUUGCACCGCACAGUAGGUUUUUAUGUGUGUGGAGCAGGGUAGAGAGGGUAAUGGAAAUUCUCCCUUGUGCAGGGUGGAUUAGUUGAUGCUUAGGCAAUUUUUACCCACCCCCCACCUGGUUUUCCUGCUUACCCUGUGAAGUUGGUUUGAGCUGAAAGAGUCUGGGUCUCUCCUAAUCCAGGGCACUUAGUCCUUGGUUUUAGGCACCUUAUAAUCUUCUAGACCACACGUGGUUUAAAAUGUGUCAUUGUAAUUCUCUAGUCACAGUCACCUGGAAGCUGAAAAGACCUUCAUAUCCUUGAAUUUGAUACCAGCUUAGAAAUUGCUGCUCUUUCUCAGAGGUAACUGAAGGCACGUUACAAUCUGGUUUAAUAGGUUAUAUGAUCAAUCAACGCAAAGGCACACACCUGUCCUAUUAAUACUGUGAUAUGAUUAUUGAGCUAUGACUAGCUUAUACACAAAUAUUCUGCACUUAUAGGUUCGUGAAAGCUGAGGAAAAUCUUAAUUAGCUUUGAUGCUCCUGGAUUGCUGAGUAAAGGAUAGUUUUACCAAGACCUGAUUGAACUGAUUGUUGUGACCCCAUGCUCUGCACUGUGUUUCCACAACAGAAUUGAUCUUUUUUCCAGAUGAAGACAUAUACCAUUCUGAACCACAUUUGAGGGUGUUUCCAACUAAGCUUGCUGAGGGAUGAAGCUAUAAGGACUCAUUGCCAAGAAAUGCUAGUGGAUACACACCUUCACCCCUCUCGCAGAGAACUAUUGAUGGGCUCACGUGGCUGAGAUAUUUAUGAAGAAACUUCUUGUACAAGGUGUUUAUACAGAAGAUGACCACUGAUAGCAUGAACAACUUUUACUGUUCCUUGAGCUUGGAGUUCAUAAUGCUGUUUGGACAUUAUAAGCCCUUAAGUACUGUAACAAAGUGAACGUUCAGCUCCAGGAAUUUCAAAUCCAGGCGAAGUGAACUUGCUGAUUAACUCUGUGAAUGAAUUUCGUGGUUUAGUAGAGGCUCUGAUGACAGCAAAUGAAAAUCUGUCUUAAACUGUAGUAAAACCUGCAGGAAAUACAAGGCACCUGCUGAGAAAUCAGCUUUCUCUUUAGCUAUUACGUUUAAUCUCUUUGACUCUUGUCUAGUUCUUCUAGGUUAGUGGGAACAUAGGUAUGGAUUUUACAGUGCUGUCAUCACCAGUGAAAUGCUCAUAUUAAUCUAGAUUUGUAUGCUAUAUGGCUGUUGGCAAUGAGGACAGUUAACAUUCCAGUAUCAAUUUCCCUUCAAGGAUACUGAAGAGCGUUGGAAACAUUAAGCUUUGAGGCUAGUAAUUUACUAAUGAGAACACUGAUUCAAAGAGAAAUUAGAACCUUAAUCUCUCACCCAGUGAAGCCAAUAGAAAUCAUUUUGUGAUUUCCUUGGGCAGACUCUGUGUAGUUUGUAAAAGGUCACAGAAGAAAUCACAGAAAAAUUAGACUGAGGUCCAAUAACUUUGUGCUUGCCCAGUAGGAGAGUAGCUGCCCCUUGUGCUACGCCUGUACCCUUUAGAUCCAAAUCCCUUUUCCUUAGUGCAGUUGAAAAAUAUUCCAAUAAACCUUGAUUUGCUGGGACCUCAUUCCCGCGUCACCACCAGCUGUGUGCUGCUGCAGAGGAGAUGUGGAACAAUAAUAUAACAGCUUUGGAGCUCUGUUAUUUUUCAUUCAGGCUGAACACCACAGGUGUCCUUCCUGGCACCCUGUGGUGGAGGCUGAUUCUCUAAGCAGAUUUUGGAAGCAAAGAUCUCUUGGACAAGUUUCCUACAGAAGCAUAAAGCCGCUCCCACCAAACUGAAGAACCAAAACCUUGCCACUGUGUUUACGUGCUCACAGUGACAUGAAGUCCUUUAGUACAACUCAAGGCCAUGCCCGACUUCAUAGAAAUGAAGUUUCCAAAUUCUUUGAAGCAGUUAAACUUUGACGAAAAGCUGUACUGCACUGCUGAGAUCUUUCAUUGAACUAAAGCAUCCGGUUUUCAGAGUGACAGGGUGACAUUGAGGAAAUCACAAUUAAGUUCUUCAAAUGUGUUAUUUUAUAGGUAGUAUCCUCCAAGGCCUGAUCCAAAGUGCUCUGUACUCAGUAGGAACCAUUCCACCUCAGGGCUCACUCAAUGUUUUCCAGCAUGCUCUGUCUCUGGUAAUAUUUCAAGCAGUUUAUUACAGAAUUGCAUAAUGCAAUAUGCAUUGCUCGUGUGGGUAGAAACCUUUAUAUCAACAGUCUAGAUAAAUGCCAGCACUGCUAUCAUAAUACACUUCAAUAGAGGUAAGAAAUAUAGUGAUGUGUUUACAAAUUUGAUCCAUUCAGGGCCCUGGGCUGUAGUAACUUAUAUAUAGGAGCAUUUAUGUAGAAAACCACUGGAGCAUAUGCAUGAUUAUUUAUCAAGAUGCUCUAUGUAUGGUGUUGGUAUUAUGCAUUAGCACCUACUUGAUAUAACAGGAAUAAACACUUCACGAAAGAACACAAAGGACACCAGAAAGGUAUAUCACAAACAUAUUUUUACAAUGAACCCACAGAGUAUUUAUGCUGUAGAUUCCACAUAAAGUGUGUGUGAGCUAGCCAAGUACAGCCCUCCCAAAACCAGGUAAGCAGUACAGUUUUAUAAUGAUGAUAUAACUGAAAGAGCCUUCAUUGACUUUAAGUACAAACCUUAUGCUUUCUAAUGUUCCUUCAACUUCCUUGUCACGUAAAGGUCAGUCCACAGCACAGUAGAAGGAAUAGAUGUAUAUCUACGAUACGCACAGCAGAUUUAAGCAUUUGUACUCAUUUGGGUUUAGCCAACUAUGCUGUGCAGUGAGUGGCAAAUGUAUUAUUCUGUUGUGCCAUAUAAAGUAUUAUUCCAGGUGUUUGAAAUAAUGCAUAUAGUUAAAGGUUAUGGCAGAAUAACGUUAAAGAAAUUCACUGUUUCUUGGCCUGAUGGUAGUAUGGAUGAUAAAAAGGAGAUGGUUAUUACAGCCUUGAAGCAUUACAGUUAUUUUGCUAUGAUAAUAGUCCUCAGAUUUUGUUAUAGCCCUAGUAUGUUACCUGAAAGUUAAAAUGCAAUUUACAGGUCUGUGAUCUCUUAUUGUCUAGAAUGUAAUUUCUAAAAGAAAAUGAGUGGUGAUCUUGAGGAUAAAUCCUGGUUUCUUUAAACUUGUUUUUUCUUUUCUUUUUUUUUUUUUGUAAGAGGAGGUUUAUU